rnacentral:rRNA from 1 species
UACUCGAGCGGCGAACGGGUGAGUAACACGUGAGUAACCUGCCCCAGGCUUUGGGAUAACCCCGGGAAACCGGGGCUAAUACCGGAUAUGACCAUCUGUCGCAUGGUGGGUGGUGGAAAGAUUUUUUGGCUUGGGAUGGGCUCGCGGCCUAUCAGCUUGUUGGUGGGGUGAUGGCCUACCAAGGCGGCGACGGGUAGCCGGCCUGAGAGGGCGACCGGCCACACUGGGACUGAGACACGGCCCAGACUCCUACGGGAGGCAGCAGUGGGGAAUCUUGCACAAUGGGCGGAAGCCUGAUGCAGCGACGCCGCGUGAGGGAUGACGGCCUUCGGGUUGUAAACCUCUUUCAGCAGGGACGAAGCGUUUGUGACGGUACCUGCAGAAGAAGCGCCGGCCAACUACGUGCCAGCAGCCGCGGUAAGACGUAGGGCGCAAGCGUUGUCCGGAUUUAUUGGGCGUAAAGAGCUCGUAGGCGGCUUGUCGCGUCGACUGUGAAAACCCGUGGCUCAACUGCGGGCUUGCAGUCGAUACGGGCAGGCUAGAGUUCGGUAGGGGAGACUGGAAUUCCUGGUGUAGCGGUGAAAUGCGCAGAUAUCAGGAGGAACACCGGUGGCGAAAGGCGGGUCUCUGGGCCGAUACU